AGCGCCAGAUAGUUAACAGAAUGUUAGCAAACCAUGUUAACUCAAAAUGUGCUGUUAACAUUUUAGUAUUUUAUUCAUUUUACGGCAAUAGGUACACACUAAGCAACAGCUGUUUUUCCAAAACAUAGCUUCGUUUAGAAACAAUUUGGUAAACAUUUGGGAAAGAAGUAAAAAAAAAAAUAUUGUUUGUUGAACUAUUAUUGUUUAAAAAUUUUUUACACAAAGAUAAUGCUACUUAUGUGCCAAUAGUGAAGAUACAUUAAAAUAUCUUAAAAAUGAACAGAUUUGCUCUUGUUGGCUUCUGGGUUACUUUGUCGCCAAUUCCACCAGGAUAAAAUUAGAUGAUGGGUCAGUAAGUCUGCGGGAAUUACUAUUCUUGGUCUUUUGAAAUUGAAAUCAAUUAAAUCAAGAUGAAGCUAUCUGAAUGGAGGUUGGACUUCUCAACACUCAAAGCUAGGUAGCUGUCAUGGUUUCCGGUUGAAAGUAAUGAAGAUAACCAUUUAUGAUGUCUUGACAAUCGGGAAGCUUCAACUGUACCUCUCAUGAAUAUUCUCACAUGAAUAUACCUCAACCUAUAUACACACCUAUUCCAUAUGCUACAGCUAAUCACUGACCAAGCUUAAUAAGCUGUUAAGAUUGUUUAACUAAUAAGUCACUAAAAGCAUGCUCCGACACUUCAGCUAUGUUCCAACAAAUAAAUGCCAAGUGACAGACUAUUUUGGGAGUGUGAAGAAA